CCCUUCGGGGCUCCUUGGUGAAUCAUGAUAACUUAACGAAUCGCAUGGCCUUGCGCCGGCGAUGGUUCAUUCAAAUUUCUGCCCUAUCAACUUUCGAUGGUAGGAUAGUGGCCUACCAUGGUGGUAACGGGUAACGGGGAAUUAGGGUUCGAUUCCGGAGAGGGAGCCUGAGAAACGGCUACCACAUCCAAGGAAGGCAGCAGGCGCGCAAAUUACCCAAUCCCGAUACGGGGAGGUAGUGACAAUAAAUACUGAUACAGGGCUCUUUUGGGUCGUGUAAUUGGAAUGAGUACAAUCUAAACCCCUUAACGAGGAACAAUUGGAGGGCAAGUCUGGUGCCAGCAGCCGCGGUAAUUCCAGCUCCAAUAGCGUAUAUUAAAGUUGUUGCAGUUAAAAAGCUCGUAGUUGAACCUCGGGCCUAGCUGGCCGGUCCGCCUCACCGCGAGUACUGGACUGGCUGGGCCUUCCCUCCUGGGGAACCCCAUGGCCUUCACUGGCUGUGGCGGGGAACCAGGACUUUUACUGUGAAAAAAUUAGAGUGUUCAAAGCAGGCCUUUGCUCGAAUACAUUAGCAUGGAAUAAUAGAAUAGGACGUGCGGUCCUAUUUUGUUGGUUUUCAGACCGCCGUAAUGAUUAAUAGGGAUAGUCGGGGGCGUCAGUAUUCAGCUGUCAGAGGUGAAAUUCUUGGAUUUGCUGAAGACUAACUACUG
rnacentral:rRNA from 2 species